rnacentral:piRNA from 5 species
GGGGGUGUAGCUCAGUGGUAGAGCGCGUGCU